rnacentral:rRNA from 1 species
AACGAACGCUGGCGGCGCGCCUAACACAUGCAAGUCGCGCGAGAAAGGCACCUUCGGGUGCCGAGUAAAGCGGCGAACGGGUGAGUAACACGUGAGUAACGUACCUUCGAGCGGGGAACAAUCCUUCGAAAGAAGGGCUAAUGCCGCAUAAGACCACAGGGUCGCAGGACCCAGAGGUCAAAGAUUUCGAAGUUCGCUUCGGAAUCGCUCGAAGAUCGGCUCGCGGCCCAUUAGGUCGUUGGUGAAGGUAAUGGCUCACCAAACCGAAGAUGGGUAGCUGGUCUGAGAGGACGAUCAGCCACACUGGGACUGAGACACGGCCCAGACUCCUACGGGAGGCAGCAGUGGGGAAUCUUGCGCAAUGGGGGCAACCCUGACGCAGCGACGCCGCGUGUGUGACGAAGGCCCUCGGGUCGUAAAGCACUGUCAGGUGGGAAGAAGGCGCAGGUGGCUUCAGUCAUCUGCGUUGACGGUACCGCCGAAGGAAGCACCGGCCAACUCCGUGCCAGCAGCCGCGGUAAGACGGAGGGUGCAAGCGUUGUUCGGAAUCAUUGGGCGUACAGGGUGCGCAGGUUGCCUGGCAAGUCCGAUGUGAAAGCCCGGGGCUCAACUCCGGAAUCGCAUUGGAAACUGUCAGGCUUGAGUCCGAGAGGGGCCAGUGGAAUUCCUGGUGUAGGGGUGAAAUCCGUAGAGAUCAGGAGGAACACCGGCGGCGAAAGCGACUGGCUGGAUCGGGACUGACGCUGAGGCACGAAAGCGUGGGGAGCAAACAGGAUUAGAUACCCUGGUAGUCCACGCCGUAAACGAUGAACGCUCGCCGUUGCCCCGCUCAAGGGGCAGUGGCUAAGUUAACGCGUUAAGCGUUCCACCUGGGGAGUACGAUCGCAAGGUUGAAACUCAAAGGAAUUGACGGGGGCCCGCACAAGCGGUGGAGCAUGUGGCUCAAUUCGAUGCAACGCGAAGAACCUUACCUAGGCUCGAACGCUAGAGGACCGCUCCUGAAAGGGAGCUUCCCCUUUGGGGCCUCUAGCGAGGUACUGCAUGGCUGUCGUCAGCUCGUGUUGUGAGAUGUUGGAUUAAGUCCCGCAACGAGCGUAACCCCUGUUGCUAGUUACCAUCGGGUAGUGCCGGGGACUCUAGCGAAACUGCCUGCGCAAGCAGUGAGGAAGGUGGGGAUGACGUCAAGUCAUCAUGGUCCUUACGCCUAGGGCUGCACACGUGCUACAAUGGCCGGUACAACGGGUAGCCACCUCGCGAGAGGGAGCGAAUCCCUGAAAACCGGUCCCAGUUCGGAUUGGAGUCUGCAACUCGACUCCAUGAAGCAGGAAUUGCUAGUAAUCGCGGAUCAGCAAUGCCGCGGUGAAUCCGUUCCCGGGCCUUGUACACACCGCCCGUCAAGCCAUGGAAGCUGAGAGCACCCGAAGUCCGUGACUCAACUCCGGCCUUGCGCCGGAGGGAGAGCGGCCGAAGGUGAGUUCAGUGACUGGGGCU